rnacentral:rRNA from 1 species
AUACGGAGGGUGCAAGCGUUACUCGGAAUCACUGGGCGUAAAGGAUGCGUAGGCGGAUAAUCAAGUCAAAAGCGAAAUCCCACGGCUUAACCGUGGAACUGCUUUCGAAACUGGUUAUCUAGAAUAUGGAAGAGGCAGAUGGAAUUAGUGGUGUAGGGGUAAAAUCCGUAGAGAUCACUAGGAAUACCGAUUGCGAAGGCGAUCUGCUGGGACAUUAUUGACGCUGAGGCAUGAAAGCGUGGGGAGCAAACAGGAUUAGAAACCCUAGUAGUCC